AUGGAGAGCAACAACAACUUGGACUGCCAGCAAAUGGAAAAAACCUUCCAGAAAGAUAUAUUCAAGGGUCGUGGCUUCUUUCCCUACAUUACUGUGAUGGAUAUUCAAGCCAAACAGCCCAUCAUAGGCUUGUCUCUGCUGACUUUGUGUUUCAGUCCAGAGACAAAGAUAUUUUUUUACUUGUGCCAUGUCUGUGAGGAAAAGUGUCGACCUGACAAUAUUGCGUUCCACCUCUCUUCUGGUGACCACUGCAGCAACUACUUUAACUACACGGACCCCAACGUACUGAGUUUCUCAUGGCUCCCCAGCAUGAAUAUGAGCGUCAUUCUCAGGCCUGAGCUCACAAAGGAAGCACAUGAAAAAGGGCCUGGACAACUGCAGAUGUUGGAUUUACCUGAAAUUCUGUUGAAAACGCUCAUAAGAAGUACCUACUCUGAAGUGAUGCGGACUCUCAGUGAAAAUGAGAAGCUACGGAAGCUAAUUGAAGCUGUCGAGCCAAAGAGGAUGAUGAUACAAACAUACCAAAGAGACAGCAACAGGAAGCAUCCACUUCUUGGCCUGCAGCACAUUGUUGAAUGUGUUUCUGUCGGACCCACCGAGAAGAGAUACUACCUCUGCACGCUCUGCAAACUCACUUUGGCCACACGCAUGGUCAUCAAACACGUCCUGAGCUUUGACCACAUCUAUUGUUACUUUAAAGCGUGGCACCCCUCUACUCUGCUGUCAAAGGAAUGCUACAAGGAUUACGACAAGGCUUUAGCCUCCAUGAUACUUGAUUUUGCCAAGCAGACAGAUGAGAUUCAUGGCACUGCAAACGCUGAUAUGAAGCAAGUGAGCCUGGAGCCUGCCAAAUUCACCUCAGUGAAUUUCACUUGUUAUGCAGAAGCUUUGAAGGAACUGGAAUCCAUCACAAAGGAAAACAAGGAGAGCAGCUUGAUUACGAGCAUCAAACCAGGGAAGAAACUAGAGCGUCAUACUGUGUCAGCAGCUCCUAUAGCGUUUUUGUACAAACUAUGCUGUCAGGACUGUAAUAUGAUCUUUGAGACGACAGCUCAGUAUUUCAAACACAUCUCACAGGGAGAACACAAAGAGAUGUUGGAGAAAAUAUUUGCCAAAGCUGAAAGACCUGAUGGUUGGGACCAACCAGUUCGGACACCCAGUCUGGGCUUAUACAAGUACCUCAAAGAGAGCUUUUAUCAAAAUCAGCCAGCUAUUGUAGGUGUACCCCUGGUUGUGACGUGUGUCAGCACUCAGGUUCAGGUGGAACCUAUUUACAUGUGCUUUGCUUGUCAGGACUGUUUCUGUGAGCCCAUCCUCAAACAACACUUCAACUCUCCAAAGCAUCUCAUACGCACGCUGCUGUACCAGAAUCCCUGGCGGCUCCCUUUUGCCUGGGAGAGUCUCGAUUUAAAAGUCUUAAAGUCAGUGGCGUGGGAAGAGGAGAAGGAAAGAGGACCAAAUCAGAUGAUGCUGAAGGUACUUGAUAUCCCAUAUUGGAUGUUUUGGAGCCUCAUCCCUAGUUACCCAAAAGGUACUGUUGAUUAA
rnacentral:lncRNA from 15 species